rnacentral:lncRNA from 1 species
CACUUUUUGGGUGGAAGGGGCAGGACUUGAAAGCUGCCUGCAGCCAAGCACUUGCUCCAUCCAUAUGGGUGCAAGAUGCCCACCUCUGCUUACUGCCAUCCGUACCUUUUUCCUUUUGCCAAUAGCCGGUGGUUGAACUCCAUUCACUAAUAAACUGCUCAGCUGCUUUGAUACAAAAUCCUUCCGCAGAUGGAUGUUGAUAAAACCAGGACCAGCAAUUUCAACCUUCUCAAUGCAUUCGUUUGCAGGAAUAUGUUUGGUUAUUUUCUCAGCGAUCUCCCUUGGACUAACCUUCUGUUCCUUGGUUUUGAGCAGUAUCUGUGUUAUGCCCAUGGCGCUGUUGCACUGAUAAUCCCCAAAUUUGGGCUGCUGGCUCGGUGUCACCACUAGUGGAGGGUUUUCUAACUCCGGGUAAGCAGCCUGAAUGGCAGCUCCAAAGAUCUCCUGAAGACGGCUGUUGAUAUUAAUCAUGCUUUUCACUGUUUUACUUUGUUCCUCUUGAAGGCUCUUCUGAAGGAAAUUCAACCGAUACUUCAGUUUAGCGUUUUCGUCUCGCAACCCUUCCAAACUUGGGGAGAUUCCCAGGCACCCAAAGUUCUUCAGAUGCUCAAUUUCUGCAGUUAGUGACUUAAUCUCGUUUUCCUGCCGUGCCAGCCGGGCCGCCGCCUCCGCCACGCGUGCCUCCAUCCUCCCGCUGCGGGAGCGAGCGGAAGCGGAAGUGGCAACGCCAGAGCGGAAGCGGAAACGACGAAACGAGGGACAGCGCCCCCGGGCGGAGGGGAGGGCCCCGCGAGUCAGGGCCGCGGCGGGGCAGGGGUGACGUCAUGCAGCACGGCAUGCAGGAGACAAGAGCAGGCGAGGACCCACGGGUGUGCAGAACGGUUGCUUUAUUCGAAAACCCCGCACGGAGCGAGGGGCCGCCACCCUCCGCCCGCGGCUUCAACGGGUGCUGCGGUCCCACAGCCCUGCAGUGCACCGCUGCAGUAACAGUGCGGCCCGCGGGCUCGCGCUUCCCGUGCAGCACCUGCGUGCGUCACGCGGCCCUCGGGCCUCGCUCACCGCACGCACGGCCGCCCCACACACAGGCAGCUGCACCGUUCCUCCACCGCCGCUUAUUGCCGUCACGCUGCUAAAAGGCUGAGCUGUACAAAAGGUUUAAACAGCAUUAUUUAAGAAUAACAGCACCAGAUGCUGCUUUUUUUUUUUGUUGGUGUUGUUCUUAUUUAAAAUUCUAUUUCCCAAAAAUACAUUCCUAAAUAUACAAACUAUACAAUCUUGUCACUUUAAUGCUGGUUUCUGUGAUGAUAUAUGUCAACCUGAAGUCCUUAAAACAUCCACGCACUGACAGAAGCUCUAACGUAAAAAGGCCUUGGUACCUCCAUAUACCACAUAAAUAACUUCAAAAAAACCCCAACAAACUGCAGUUGUAGAAGUGUCCCCAGAGCAAAUACUUUAUGGUGAUCACACGUCAUCUGCAGAGAGUGUUGGAAUGUUUAUCCUGGGCCGUGUGAAAAAUGCCAUUUUCUCUCUAGAAGAAGAAGAUCAGCUGUUAGUGCAGUAGAGGUCUCGCCAGAAACGUGCAUCAUCUGCAUUAACACGCAUCCCCCCCUCGGUCACCCCCAAGAACAGCAGCA